rnacentral:lncRNA from 1 species
GUGUAAUUCAUUCAGUCCAGUUGAUUAAUUCAUAUGCGCCUGUAUUUAUAAAGACCCAUUGGUUGGUUUCUACAUUAUUUAGAGAUGACUCACCUCCCGUUUCAACCGCAGCGUGUUUGCAUAGAUUCCAGGAGACACAAUAUCUCUGGGCAAGUCUAUCCUUAGUUUCACAACGCAGAAACAAAAAUAGGAAAGAAGAGAUGAGAUACAUAAAACAAAAAACUUUGAAAAAGUGAUAGGACGAGAUUUUCUCAAUUCAUUUUCUCUACUUCCUCAGAGUCAGAUGAGUUAACGGAUACCAUUUUCAUGUCUCUGCAUUCAGCAUGAAGGAAGUUAAGAAGUAAUUUCAUUAAAAUUGUAUUUACAUGCUUCUGACUCUGGGUAAGUUGAUAAAGGGCUCAAUUGGCAAAAUCUCGCAAUAUCCCUUUAAAUCAAAAUGCUAACAUGACAGCCAUAACUCCUUACACAUCAUACGAUUAUUGAUUACAUGAUCAGUUCAUGAUGUCAUAGAGUGUUGUUCCGCUUUCUCAUUAUUUACAGUCAGUUGGAACUGUUGCCACAUGGUAUAAAUAUGAUGAACAGUUAAUAUACCAGGAACUCAUGACAUCUCUCCAACAGUUUGAAUAUGAUGAACAGUUAAUAUACCAGGAACUCAUGACAUCUCUCAUGACAUUAAUAUGGGAGAUGUUAUUAAAAGCUGGACGGUGGGGAGACAUAUGGAGUGGCUGGCUGGCAGUUCCACAGAGAUGGCUGUAAGGGGGAAAGAGGUGCAUGGCUGAGGAAGACUACUUCUGCCUCUCUCUCUCACACGCGCACACACACACACACACGUGAAGAGUUGAACACACUCACAAAACAUCAAACAAUCAAUACAAUUGAAACGGUUGCUUGAAUGUCUUAGCGUUUUUCAUUUGUAAAAGUUUACCAUGGUAACCCCACCAGAUCCAGCCACUGACUGUACCAGUCAGUCAGUCAGUCCAUCCACCAAUCAAUCAAUCAGUCAGUCCAUCCACCAAUCAAUCAAUCAGUCAGUCCAUCCACCAACCAGUCAGUCAGUCCAUCCACCAAUCAAUCAGCCAAUCAAUUAAAUCAACUGAAGAUAGUUUAGCGUUUGUAUAUGCAUCAGUAUACCUACAUUACAUAACGUAUGAUUGCUUAUGGUAGAUUUGCAUGGCUUGUGGAUUGGAUGUUUCAAUAGAACAGGUAAUGGUCUGAUAUAACUAAAGUCAGUGAGUCCAACGGUUACAACUUUCAAAUUCAGCUUUUUUUUCCCUCUCCACAGAAAAUGAUUCAUACAAGUGAGUCUUCAUGUAAAAUGUAUAAUUUUCUGCAUAAAAACAAAUCAAAGAUGAAUUGACUGAUGAUUAAAUGAAUCAUUACAACCUUAAUUGUGAGAAGUGUUAAUACAGAACGUGUUCUACGGCAUCUGUGAAAUGGGACCUGCUUUAAAACUGCAUUUUGUGACAAAUCAAGAAAAUAAAAAAAAAAACAUGUUAAGUUGCACAAUGAGAAUAAAUUAAAAAAAAAAAAGCCAAUGACAAUAGAGGCUAGGUUCGAGAUGGACUUUCACACACACACACACACACACACACACACACACACACACACACACACACACACACACACACACACACACACACACACACACACACAAACACACGCUUAAAACAACUGCAAUAGUUUUUAUAAAAACUGAAAUUAAAGUGAUUAAAGUGUCUUGGCAAAACUUAAAAAACACUGUGUGGGCACAGCUAGCUAGCUAGCUUCUCAACGCUCUGUGGGCACAGCUAGCUAGCUAGCUUCUCAACGCUCUGUGGGCACAGCUAGCUAGCUAGCUUCUCAACGCUCAACAUGACACAUACUAAUAAAUAUGAGGUCCACUGCAACACUGACGCGGUCAACGUUUAUAAUAAAUAUGAGGUCCACUGCAACGGUCAAAAAGUUUCUAAUAAUAAUUAUGUGAUCCACUGCAACAUUGACACGGUCAAAGUUAUUAGUAAAUAUGUCAGGGAUCAUAAACCAGAUUCAGUCGCGGGACGAUUCUUUCUUGAGCGGAUGGCCGGGGGCACCUUUUUUUAUAAAAAC